rnacentral:rRNA from 1 species
UACGUAGGUGGCGAGCGUUGUCCGGAUUUACUGGGCGUAAAGCGCGCGCAGGCGGACUGAUCAGUCUGGGGUGAAAUCUCACGGCUCAACUGUGAGCGGUCCCUGGAUACUGUCAGCCUUGAGAUGUCUAGAGGAGAGCGGAAUUCCCGGUGUAGUGGUGGAAUGCGUAGAUAUCGGGAAGAACACCGGUGGCGAAGGCGGGUCUCUGGGCCGAUACUGACGCUGAGGAGCGAAAGCGUGGGGAGCGAACAGG